GAUGAACGCUGGCGGCGUGCUUAACACAUGCAAGUCGAACGGUGAAGCAGAGCUUGCUCUGUGGAUCAGUGGCGAACGGGUGAGUAACACGUGAGCAAUCUGCCCCGGACCCUGGGAUAACAGUUGGAAACAGCUGCUAAUACUGGAUACGAAACAAGACCGCAUGGUCAUUGUUUGGAAAGAAUUUCGGUCUGGGAUGAGCUCGCGGCCUAUCAGCUUGUUGGUGAGGUAAUGGCUCACCAAGGCGUCGACGGGUAGCCGGCCUGAGAGGGUGACCGGCCACACUGGGACUGAGACACGGCCCAG
rnacentral:rRNA from 1 species